rnacentral:rRNA from 1 species
GUGGGGAAUUUUGGACAAUGGGCGCAAGCCUGAUCCAGCAAUGCCGCGUGCAGGAAGAAGGCCUUCGGGUUGUAAACUGCUUUUGUACGGAACGAAACGGUCCUGGCUAAUAUCCGGGGCUAAUGACGGUACCGUAAGAAUAAGCACCGGCUAACUACGUGCCAGCAGCCGCGGUAAUACGUAGGGUGCGAGCGUUAAUCGGAAUUACUGGGCGUAAAGCGUGCGCAGGCGGUGUUGUAAGACAGGCGUGAAAUCCCCGGGCUCAACCUGGGAAUUGCGCUUGUGACUGCAAGACUGGAGUGCGGCAGAGGGGGAUGGAAUUCCGCGUGUAGCAGUGAAAUGCGUAGAUAUGUGGAGGAACACCGAUGGCGAAGGCAAUCCCCUGGGCCUGCACUGACGCUCAUGCACGAAAGCGUGGGGAGCAAACAGGAUUAGAAACCCUGGUAGUCC